UUUGUGAAAACAGUGUGGAGACCAUGGCGAGAGGAGGCCAGUAGACCCUGGUGCCAUGGAGCUUCCCAGUUACAGCAAGCAGCUGCUGCAGCACCUGCACACUCUCUGCAAAGAGCAGCAGUUCUGUGAUUGCACCAUCUUCAUUGGGAAUGUUCGUUUUGGAGCACACAAGGUGGUUUUGGCUGCUGCCAGCCUGCUUUUUAAAUCCUUAUUGGACAGCACGGACACCAUCUCCAUCGAUGCUUCAGUGGUGACCCCUGAGGAGUUUGCGCUCUUGCUGGAGAUGAUGUACAGUGGCAAACUCCCACUGGGGAAACACAAUUUCACCAAAGUUAUCUCGGUGGCAGAUAGUCUGCAGAUGUUUGAUGUGGCUGUUAGUUGUAAAAACCUCCUCAGGGACCUCAUCAGCUGUUCAGCUCAGGACCGGGUAGUGACAGAAGUCUCCAGCCAGACAGCAGACUCAUCUGGAAACCAAGCUGAAGCUAAUAACCUACCCCAGUCUGAAAAACCUGCUGAAGGAAAACCAGAUAUCCUCCUCUCUCAGAGAGUUUCCCCUUCUCCUGGCCCUGUAGAAGCAGAAGUGGAAGCAGAUGUUUCUCCUCCUAGCCAAGAACUUACCGUGAAUCACACCUGGGUUCACCAGGAUACGAUGCCAAGUGACUCCAGAUCCCUCCAGGAGGAUUCAGGCUCUCGUCCUAAUUGGCCUGCCUGUGCUGAGCAGGGUGGCAGCGCAGAAGAGGAGCUUGCUGAGCCUCUGGAGGAGAAAGGAGGAGCAAGGGAUUUAGCAGCAGAGAGCAAAAGCUGUAAACUGGAUUUCUUUCUGCGAUAUGAAAGUGUUUUCUCUGAGGCCCUUUCUGAUGCCCAAACGGUGCUGAAAAGACUAGAAGAGUGCAGAGAAAUUGAUGCCUCUCAAAAGGAGGCUCUGGUUGCCUGUCUGGCAGAGGCAGGGGAACAGUCGGUGUUCAAGAAGCUGCUGAGCAAAGUGAAGGAUGCUGAGACCCUGGAUGCUGAGACCCUCAUAUCUUUACUGAAGCUGUUCCAAGGUGUGAAUCCCAAGCUGCGAGUGGCGUUGCUGGAGAGGGAAGGGGGCAGCGGAGAAGCCCUGCAGCAAACAGAGAGCACAGACGAGGGAGAGAUGCUGACCGCUCGCUUGCUGGGACACAGGGAGGAGCUGAUCCAGAGUGUGACACAGCUGAGCCCCAUUGUAGAGUUCCUGGAGGCGGCAGAAGAGGGAUUCCUGACUGCCUCGGAGAAGCGGGUAGUUUUGGAUUGCUGUGAAGGCGGCUCUCAGAGGGAAGCCAUGGACAAUCUGCUCAGGAAGGUGGAUGAAGAGAAAACCCUGAAAGCAGAAAGUUUGAUCAAACUCUUGGGGGCUGUGAAAGCUUCAUUCCCUGGUCUCCACCUUCUGCUAGACGGCUUGGUGGCAACAGCAAAUGUCUCUGAUGGCAAAGCCAAAUGGAGCCCAGAGGAUUACGGAGCCAAACUGCUGAGGCGAUACCGAGAAAACUUAGUGGAGCUCCUCACAGAUGCCCAGGUGCUGCUGCAGGGCAUCUCUGUUGCACAGAGCCUGGCUCCUGCUGAGAGAGAGGCGAUGGAGCAGGUUGUGAAGCAUGAGGCUGGCGGUUUUGCCUCCCUUGUGUCGGCAGUGCUGGAGGAGAAGUCUUUGUCGGCCUCUGCCGUUUGGCAACUGCUGCUGGCUGUGCGGGAACCUGCACCGCUGAACCUGCUUAUGGAGGAGAUCCGGAAACAGCCCGGCGCAGAGUUUUUCUUCCAAGCAGUGGCCACCAGCGAGAGCACAGCCAUUGAGAUCAUCUUGCGGCACAGCAAGCUGAUCUCGGAGGCCAUCCAGCAGAGAGCCAACCUGGAGGGCUUGGCUCCGGGGGAGGCAGGACUCACAGAAGCAGUAAAAGAGCUACUGAGUAUUUCUGCUCAGAAGGAUAGUUCAGAGGCCUCCCUGAAAGCAGCUCUGAGCACAGCCCAGGAGAAGUCUGUCCCGGCCAUCAAGAUCUGUCAGCUGCUGUGCAAUGUCCAUGAGACCUUCCCAGACCUGCAGCCAGUGAUGCAGGAGCUGGGGCAUGUGGGUCUCUUGACUGAGGGAAGCGGGGAGAAACCUGGGAUCAGGAAGUGGAAGGUGAACAGUGAAUCCCAAGUUGAAGCUCUGGACAAAGAUGAGGACAAGGCGGGAGGUGCUGGUGCCAAGGAACCAAAGGAACCCCAAGAGAAAGCUUCUUCUAAGAAGAGUUUUGUCUGCAAAGCCUGUGAUAAGACCUUCCACUUCUACUGCCGCCUGAAGGUGCACAUGAAACGUUGUCGGGUGGCCAGAGGAAAGCAGAUCCAGUGUAAGGAGUGCAGUGAGGUCAAAUCGACGAAGAAGGAGCUGGAGAAGCAUCAGCUGGAGGUCCACGGGAUGGUGGGAACAGCCAAGAAGAAGAAGAAGCGGCUCCCUGUGGCUUGUGACAUCUGUGGCAGAGAGUUUGCUCAUGCCUCAGGGAUGCAGUACCACAAGCUUACGGAGCACUUUGAUGAGAAGCCCUUCUCCUGCGAGGAGUGCGGGGCCAAGUUCGCGGCCAACUCCACGCUGAAGAACCACAUGCGGCUGCACACAGGGGAUCGGCCCUUCAUGUGCAAGCAUUGCCUGAUGACCUUCAUGCAGGCGUCGGCCCUUGCCUACCACACCAAGAAGAAGCAUGCUGAGGGCAGAGUCCAGACAGAACUCCUGUCCUGUUACGUACAGGCUCUCACCCUGGCUGUCACUGCAGGGAAAAUGUACGCCUGCCAGUACUGUGAUGCCGUGUUCGCCCAGUCCAUCGAGCUGUCGCGCCAUGUCCGGACUCACACAGGGGACAAGCCGUAUGUCUGCCGGGAGUGUGGGAAAGGCUUUCGCCAGGCCAACGGGCUCUCCAUCCACCUCCGGACCUUCCACACAGACAUCGAAGAUCCCUAUGACUGCAAGAAAUGUCGGAUGAGCUUUGCCACCCUGCAGGAGCACCGCAAGCAUGUCCAUGAAGCCCACUCCCGGGAGUACCACCCCUGCCCGACCUGCUCCAAAGUCUUCAGUGCCCCGUCGCUCCUGGAGCGCCAUAUGGUGACCCACGUCGGAGGAAAGCCCUUUAGCUGUGAGAUCUGUGACAAAGCUUACCAGCAGUUGUCAGGGUUAUGGUAUCACAACCGGACCCACCACCCUGAUGUCUUUGCAGCUCAGAAUCACCGCUCCUCCAAGUUCUCCUCCCUGCAGUGCAGCUCCUGUGACAAAACCUUCUCCAGCACUGCUGCUCACCGAAAGCACGUCAAGGCAGAGCACACAGAUGUGAAGUUCCAGGAGUGCGAGACAUGCAAGGAGCUCUUCCCCACGCCGGCUCUUCUGCAGGUCCACGUGAAGUGCAGGCACUCAGGCUCCCAGCCGUUUCGCUGCUUGUACUGCUCAGCAUCCUUCCGCUUCCCAGGGGCCCUGCAGAGCCAUGUUGCCACCGAGCACUUCAAGCAGACAGAGAGCACCUUCACCUGUGAGCUCUGUGGGGAGCUCUUCCCCUCCCAGGGUGAGCUGGAGGGGCACUACAGCACUGAGCAUCCCAAGGUGGUCUUCUCCCAAGCCACCAUGGCCCAGAUUGUGCAGGUGAUUCAGACGUCAGACCAAGGAGCAGCAGAGCACAUCAUCUCUUUUGAUGAGGCCCAACUCGCUGGCUCACAAGUCUUUGUGACGUUGCCCGAAUCCCAGAUGAGCCAAGCUGGCUCUGAGCUGGUGGCAGUGACCAUGGAGGACUUGUUUGAUGACAAAGUCACUCUGAUUUGUGAAGAAACCAAGUGAGAGUGGCACCUGGUAUCCACUAGACUCAUUCAGGAGCUGUACCUGCAGGGAAAUUCAGGGUUUCUUUGGGAAAACAGCCCUGGAUAUGCGACACUGCAAAAGAAAUGGUGUGCAAGCACAGCAUGGCCAAGGACAGGAAAGGUUGAACUCUGCCACUGCGAUAUUUACAUACUGAGUGGUGAUCCCCGCCGCAUAUCGCAGCCUGAGACCCUGCGGCGAGCAGUGCCCGUUUCAUCAUGCUGCCCAGAGCCGCGGGAGCGCAGGAGAUGAACAGAUUGGAGUUUUCCAGCAGUGUCUUGUGCUGGCUGCUGACAGCCACCAGGCAGAGAUGGUCGCACAGGAGCAUGCCAAGGUGGUUGUGCCAGUGAGAUAGUUUGUUGUUCCUGUUACAACUUGGAGAGAAGUGAACAGCAAGGCGUGCCCCCAGGAGAGGGGCUUGGUGGAGCUAAUGUUCUGCAUGGUAUUUUUUUGUGUGUGUGGCAGCAAGCAUAGGGCCCUGUUGAAGUGUUGCACAUAUCCUGAAGGGCUCCCACCUUUCUCUUCCUUGGUUGCAUGUGUGGCUUGUCCCCCAGUCUUUGCCGUGAUGCUGAAAUGGAGGAAGCAUGAGGUUAAGUUGCCACUGAAUCCAGGAAUGACCAGGAGAUGGUGCUCAAGGUCUUGAGGAUUAGUGCUAAUGGCCAGGUGCCUCUGCACCUCUGCUGAAGCUCCUCUUAGACUUCCCAGGCCUUACGCAGCUCCUGGGCUGGCUGGCAGGCGUGAAGAGCCCUUGAGCCACUGCCAAGCUGGAGGACAACUCUAAGCCCUGGACAGGACAACUCCUAGCCCUGGACAUUGCUGCAUAAGGAAGAGCCUGAAACUGGGCUGUGCCCACCUGUGGAGAGGGUAAAGUCCAUCUGCAGAGGACUGGUGAAAAAGCCUGGGACCCCGUUGGCCAGGAGGAGAGCAGAGGGGGAACUGCUGGAGACCAUCUCAUGCCUGCCUGGACUCAGAAGAGCUUGUGCAUGGAGCUCAGGCUGAGCGCAGGGAUAAUGACAGAACAAGCAAAUAUGGCUUGAUCGUCUUAAAGCAGACAUGUUGGGAGGUAAGCAGUGGAUUUUGUCCCACAGGCUGCUGGAGAUGGAAGCUGCUCCCCCUUUUCUGGCUCCGUGGGGGCUGGGAGCUGUGGAAAUCCUGCAGAAGCUGCAUGAUGCUCUGGAGCAGGGGAUGAAUUGUCCAGGCGAUGCUUUGGAGAUAUCCUAGCCUUCAUUUGGGAGCCCAUAUCUGCAGGGAGUGUUAGUUGAAGCUGAUCUCCCUUUCUUCCUGAAAAACUCUGGAGGAAGAGUAAAGGUUAAGGGAAAGUUGCCUUAUUUAUAGCCCCCUCAUAAGGCAGAGGGAGCUUGGCUAGGGAAGAGCAUGCAAGUGAUGCACUUUUACUUUGAUCCGUUUGGUCCCUGUCAGCUGAGUGUUGUCGCAAUUGAAGGGGGAUGGUGCAAAUCACGCAGCAGGGGCAGUUCAGGCUCACGUCUCCUGUUUAGGGCAAUCUCUCCUGCCCUUGUGCCCAGCAAGAGCCUGCAUGGACGUAUCCUCAGCAGAGUGCUGCCAGCAAUGUACACCCAGUGAGAGUUCUGCAGCUGUACAGAGACCAUCAAGCAUCUCCCGUAUCAUUAUGAGGAGAUAAUAAUUCAAAUACCCCCGUUCCGGUUCCUUCUUGAUGGAUGAAAUAUGCACAUCAGAGCAAAUUGCAGCGUUAGCAACACCUAUGUCCUACCUGGAAGGAAGAUGUGUUUCCCAGGGCACAUCCUGGUCUGGUGUGCUCAACACUGAAGAUGCUGAUCACUAGCGAUUUCUUGUUAUGCUGCAUAUUCUUUUUUAGUCUGUAAAAAUAAAAC